GAUGAACGCUAGCUACAGGCUUAACACAUGCAAGUCGAGGGGAAACGACAUCGCAAGCUUGCUUUUGAUGGGCGUCGACCGGCGCACGGGUGAGUAACGCGUAUCCCACCUGCCCAUCACUUGGGAAUAACCUUGCGAAAGUAAGACUAAUACCCAAUGACAUCCCACGAAGACAUCUGAAUGGGAUUAAAGAUUUAUCGGUGAUGGAUGGGGAUGCGUCUGAUUAGCUUGUUGGUGGGGUAACGGCCCACCAAGGCAACGAUCAGUAGGGGUUCUGAGAGUAAGGUCCCACACAUUGGAAGAGAGACGCGGUCCAAACUGCUACGGGAGGGAGCAGUGAGAAAUAGUAGUCAAUGGGCGAGAGUCUGAACCAGCCGAGUAGCGUGCAGGAUGACGGCCCUAUGUGUUGUAAACUUCUUUUAUAAGGGAAUAAAGUGGGUCUCGGGAGACUUUUUGCAUGUACCUUAUGAAUAAGGACCGGCUAAUUCCGUG
rnacentral:rRNA from 1 species